rnacentral:misc_RNA from 1 species
UCCGUAGGUGAACCUGCGGAGGGAUCAUUACAGAGUUCAUGCCCUCACGGGUAGAUCUCCCACCCUAUGUUAUUGUUACCUUUGUUGCUUUGGCGGGCCGUCAGGCCUCGGUCAGGCUACCGGCUUCAGCUGGUAAGCGCCCGCCAGAGGACCCCAAACUCUGAAUAUUUAGUGUCGUCUGAGUACUAUAUAAUAGUUAAAACUUUCAACAACGGAUCUCUUGGUUCUGGCAUCGAUGAAGAACGCAGCGAAAUGCGAUAAGUAAUGUGAAUUGCAGAAUUCAGUGAAUCAUCGAAUCUUUGAACGCACAUUGCGCCCCUUGGUAUUCCGGGGGGCAUGCCUGUUCGAGCGUCAUUACAACCCUCAAGCCUGGCUUGGUAUUGGGCUUCGCCGUUUUGGCGGGCCUUAAAAUCAGUAACAGUGUCGUUGGGGCCCUGAGCGUAGUACAUAUCCUCGCUAUAGGGAUUUCCACGGCCAUUAACCCUCACUUUCUAAGUUUGACCUCGGAUCAGGUAGGGAUACCCGCUGAACUU